UUAUUAUUUUCUUAUUUUUCAAAAUCUGAAGUAAGGUAAUGUAACAAUAGUAAUCAAAAUCUGAAGUAAGGUAAGUAAUUAUCUUUCAAAAUCAAAAGUAAUCUCUCUUAAAUGAACUCUUAGUAUAAUGUAACAAUUUUUUUUUCAUUUAUUUAUGAAGAGAGAACGUCGAAGGUCUCCAUGUACAUUAUUUUAAAUUGCCUCUCAUUUUCAACAUCUUUGACCAUCGCAACUUUGGUCCAUGUCAACCCAUUUACUACUGCUGAUACACACAACUGAGCCAUGAUUCUCCAAUUGAUUAAACUGCAAAUAAUAUCUAAAACAUCCUUCAGCUAGUGAGUCACAAUCAAGAAAAUCCAUUGAAAGCACAAAGCUUCAUAUAAUUAUAUUAGUCAGAAUUCAAGAACACCGUUAUUCAAAUAAAAUAAAAAAAGAACACCGUUAUUAUUUAGUUUAAUUGCGGCCUUAAUUUUGAGCAAGAAGAUCAAAACACAGUUGCCUCUUGCCUGUCACCACAGGCUGUGGAACUGUGAGUUUAAUGCUGAUUAAAAAGCAUGGUUAACGGACAGAUAAGUAGGCCAACGCCAUAGAUUGGUGACCAAAUAAUUAACAGAACUGGUCAAAUGAUGAGACAUGAGAGCUGCAACCACCGUACGAUUGGGUCCCAUCUUUCUUAGUUUCUCGGUUCCCUGAUUUAUCUUGCUCACCGAUCAUCAUCCCCAAUCAGCAGCCUCCUGUUUCAAUUCUGUGAAUUCAUGUCCGUUGUUCGUCAAUGGCUACAAUAUCCCCUUUCCUUUUUAAGAUGCACAUAGAGAGGAAUGAUUUUGUAAAUCAUCAUCGAAAAUCUAGUAUCUACGUACUACUUGCAACGAAAAUUCCAAUAAUUAUAAGUUACAAUUGGAACCGAUACCAAUAAUAUGCUUACUUUGAUAAUUAUAACACGUAAUUGAAAUUGAUUUAAAUGUUUUUUUUAAUUCUUGUGAAUGUGAACGAUUAGAUGUAUGGACGCCAGUAGGCAGUGGCCCGUGGUCAAUGAUUUUGUUCAUUGUAUUUUUUAUAUGGGUUGAAGGAAUCUAAGACAGAUCACGGGCAUAACGAUAGCUUUUCCGUCCAUGGAAAGGGAGAGGUCAUCAUCGGUCAUCUUAAUUUAUUUAUAUACUAAUAAUAUAAUGUAACUUUCUUAAAUUUGUUGAGCUGAAA
rnacentral:lncRNA from 1 species